AGUGAACGCUGGCGGUAGGCCUAACACAUGCAAGUCGAACGGCAGCACAGUAAGAGCUUGCUCUUACGGGUGGCGAGUGGCGGACGGGUGAGGAAUACAUCGGAAUCUACUUUUUCGUGGGGGAUAACGUAGGGAAACUUACGCUAAUACCGCAUACGACCUACGGGCGAAAGCAGGGGAUCUUCGGACCUUGCGCGAUUGAAUGAGCCGAUGUCGGAUUAGCUAGUUGGCGGGGUAAAGGCCCACCAAGGCGACGAUCCGUAGCUGGUCUGAGAGGAUGAUCAGCCACACUGGGACUGAGACACGGUCCAGACUCCUACGGGAGGCAGCAGUGGGGAAUAUUGGACAAUGGGCGCAAGCCUGAUCCAGCCAUACCGCGUGGGUGAAGAAGGCCUUCGGGUUGUAAAGCCCUUUUGUUGGGAAAGAAAAGCAGCAGGUUAAUACCCCGCUGUUCUGACGGUACCCAAAGAAUAAGCACCGGCUAACUUCGUG
rnacentral:rRNA from 1 species